CAAGACCGGUGCCAGCCGCCGCGGUAACACCGGCAGCUCGAGUGGUAGCCGCGUUUAUUGGGCCUAAAGCGUCCGUAGCCGGUCCGAUAAGUCUCUGGUGAAAGCCCACAGCUCAACUGUGGGAAUCGCUGGAGAUACUAUCGGACUUGAGGCCGGGAGAGGCUGGAGGUACUCCCAGGGUAGGGGUGAAAUCCUAUAAUCCUGGGAGGACCACCUGUGGCGAAGGCGUCCAGCUGGAACGGACCUGACGGUGAGGGACGAA
rnacentral:rRNA from 2 species